rnacentral:rRNA from 1 species
CCUACGGGAGGCAGCAGUGAGGAAUAUUGGUCAAUGGGCGGGAGCCUGAACCAGCCAAGUCGCGUGAGGGAAGACGGUCCUAUGGAUUGUAAACCUCUUUAGGCGGGGAGCAAUGCCGGGCACGCGUGCCCGGAGGGAGAGUACCCGCAGAAUAAGCAUCGGCUAACCCCGUGCCAGCAGCCGCGGUAAUACGGAGGAUGCGAGCGUUAUCCGGAUGUAUUGGGUUCAAAGGGUGCGUAGGCGGAUUUUUAAGUCAGCGGUAAAAUGUCCGGGCUCAACCCGGGCCGGCCGUUGAAACUGGGGAUCUUGAGUGGGCGAGAAGUAUGCGGAAUGCGUGGUGUAGCGGUGAAAUGCAUAGAUAUCACGCAGAACUCCGAUUGCGAAGGCAGCAUACCGGCGCCCGACUGACGCUGAGGCACGAAAGCGUGGGGAUCGAACAGGAUUAGAUACCCGGGUAGUC